AGAUUGAACGCUGGCGGCAGGCCUAACACAUGCAAGUCGAGCGGUAGAGAGGUGCUUGCAUCUCUUGAGAGCGGCGGACGGGUGAGUAAUGCCUAGGAAUCUGCCUAGUGGGUGGGGGAUAACGUUCGGAAACGGACGCUAAUACCGCAUACGUCCUACGGGAGAAAGGCGGGGGACCUUCGGGCCUCGCGCCAUUAGAUGAGCCUAGGUCGGAUUAGCUAGUUGGUGAGGUAAUGGCUCACCAAGGCGACGAUCCGUAACUGGUCUGAGAGGAUGAUCAGUCACACUGGAACUGAGACACGGUCCAGACUCCUACGGGAGGCAGCAGUGGGGAAUAUUGGACAAGUGGGCGAAAGCCUGAUCCAGCCAUCGCCGCGUGUGUGAAGAAGGUCUUCGGAUUGUAAAAGCUAACUUUUAAGGUUGGGUAAGGUAAGGGUUAGUAAACCGUUAAUUACGUUGACUUAACGUUUGACCGUUACCGAC
rnacentral:rRNA from 1 species